rnacentral:rRNA from 1 species
AACCCUUCGGGGCGAAGAUAAGACGGAUUAGCGGCGGACGGGUGAGUAACACGUGAGUAACCUGCCUUUUACACGGGGAUAGCCUCGGGAAACCGGGAUUAAAACCUGAUGAAACUAUCAAAUCACAUGAUUAAGAAAGUUAAAACUCCGGUGGUAAAAGAUGGACUCGCGUCCCAUUAGCUAGUUGGUGAAGGUAACGGCCCACCAAGGCAACGAUGGGUAGCCGGCCUGAGAGGGUGAACGGCCACAUUGGAACUGAGAAACGGUCCAAACUCCUACGGGAGGCAGCAGGA